UACAGAGGUCCCAAGCGUUGUUCGGAUUCACUGGGCGUAAAGGGUGCGUAGGUGGCCAGGUAAGUUCGGUGUGAAAGCUCGGAGCUUAACUCCGAAAUGGCAUUGAAUACUAUCUGGCUGGAGGGUCGGAGGGGAGACUGGAAUUCUCGGUGUAGCAGUGAAAUGCGUAGAUAUCGAGAGGAACACCAGUGGCGAAGGCGAGUCUCUGGACGACUCCUGACACUGAGGCACGAAAGCCAGGGGAGCAAACAGG
rnacentral:rRNA from 1 species